CCUACGGGAGGCAGCAGUGAGGAAUAUUGGUCAAUGGACGAGAGUCUGAACCAGCCAAGUAGCGUGAAGGAUGACUGCCCUAUGGGUUUUAAACUUCUUUUAUAUGGGAAUAAAAUGUUCCACGUGUGGGAUUUUGUAUGUACCAUAUGAGUAAGGAUCGGCUAACUCCGUGCCAUCAGCCGCGGUAAUACGGAGGAUACGAGCGUUAUCCGGAUUUAUUGGGUUUAAAGGGAGCGUAGGUGGAUUGUUAAGUCAGUUGUGAAAGUUUGCGGCUCAACCGUAAAAUUGCAGUUGAAACUGGCAGUCUUGAGUACAGUAGAGGUGGGCGGAAUUCGUGGUGUAGCGGUGAAAUGCUUAGAUAUCACGAAGAACUCCGAUUGCGAAGGCAGCUCACUGGACUGCAACUGACACUGAGGCUCGAAAGUGUGGGUAUCAAACAGGAUUAGAUACCCGGGUAGUC
rnacentral:rRNA from 1 species